rnacentral:rRNA from 1 species
GAUGAACGCUGGCGGCGUGCUUAACACAUGCAAGUCGAACGAUGAAGCCCAGCUUGCUGGGUGGAUUAGUGGCGAACGGGUGAGUAACACGUGAGUAACCUGCCCUUCACUCUGGGAUAAGCCUGGGAAACUGGGCCUAAUACCUGAUAGGAGCGUCCACCGCAUGGUGGGUGUUGGAGAGAUUUAUCGGUUUUGGAUGGAUUCGCGGCCUAUCAGCUUGUUGGUGAGGUAAUGGCUCACCAAGGCGACGACGGGUAGCCGGCCUGAGAGGGUGACCGGCCACACUGGGACUGAGACACGGCCCAGACUCCUACGGGAGGCAGCAGUGGGGAAUAUUGCACAAUGGGCGCAAGCCUGAUGCAGCGACGCCGCGUGAGGGAUGACGGCCUUCGGGUUGUAAACCUCUGUCUGUAGGGAAGAAGCGAAAGUGACGGUACCUGAAGAAGAAGCACCGGCUAACUACGUG